UUUGCCAUGUGGCGCGUAAUAAAAUUAAUAUUUGUGCUUGGCGAUAUUGCCGUUAAACGUCUCCACAGAAAAGAAAAAAUAAGUUAUAUGCGACCACGUGCAUGAUACAUUGUGUAUUGGAAAAAAAAAUAAACUUUUUUAUCGAAAAGUAUUGAUUUUUAACAUUACGUGACUUUUAUAACUGAUAAAAAUGGAACAAACAAAUGAAAUAAGAAACAAAGAAAAGUUAGUGGAAGCUUUUCUGAAAGGCAAAAGUGUGGCAAGACACCAUAUAGAUUCUUAUAAUUAUUUCAUUAAUGAAGAAAUAAAUAAUAUUGUCAAAGCAAAUGAAAAAGUUUUAUAUAAUGAAGAUCCACAUUUUUAUGUAAAACAUUUAAGUAUAAAAGUUGGUUCACCUGAUGAUGGUUCAAAUGAUAAACGAUUAACAACACCACACGAAUGCCAUUUAAGAGAUCUAAAUUAUUCUGCGCCAAUUUCAGUGGAUAUUGAAUAUAUAAGAAAUAAUCAGCGGGAUGCCAAUAAUGUUGUGCAGUUCAAAUUGUGUAUUAACUAAUAAAUCUCAUUAUGAAUUGGCUAAAUUAAACGAAUGCCCUCGUAUGAAUCUGGUAAUUAUUUUAUUAUAAAUGGUCAAGAAAAAGUUAUAUUAAUGCAAGAACAAAUGGUUAAAAAUAGAAUUAUUGUGGAAAAAGAUGGCAAAGAAGUUAUUGCAUCGUGUAACAGUUUUACGCACAACAAAAAGACUAAGACAAGUGUUGUGGGUAAAAAUCACAAAUAUUAUAUAAGAAACAAUAUGUUCCAAGAUGAUAUAAUGAUUACUGUCAUUUUCAAAGCUAUGGAAAUAAUAGCUGAUCUAGAUAUCAUAUAAAUAAUUGGAGCAGAAGAAAAAUAUUUUAGACAGUUGGGAAACUGAUAGAGAUAUUAACUGGCAAUAUGGGAGUUGCGAGUGGAACAUUGCAAGAUGCAACAGCAUUCGAGAGCGCUAAUGUAGUGGAUUCCUGUAAAGAAAAAUUAACAAAACAUGGUUAUAAUUACUUAGGUAAAGAUUUAUUUUAUAGCUGCAUGACUGAACAGCCGAUAGAGAGAUAUUUUUUUUCUGAAAUAGCUUAUUAUCAGAAAUUGAAACAUAUGAUACAAAACAAGAUACAUGCUCGUGCCAGGGGGCCGAAGGUAAUUCUAACACGCCAGCCGACAGAAGGUCGUUCCAAAAACGGUGGUCUACGACUGGGUGAAAUGGAAUGUGAUUGCUUGAUCGGUUAUGGGGCUAGCAUGAUGUUAAUGGAGAGAGUGAUGCAUUUCAAGUUGACAUUUGUAACAAGUGUGAUCUUAUAGGAUAUAAUGGUUGGUGCCAAAGAUGCAGUAGUAGUUCUUCCAUUUCUACGGUCACAAUGCCUUACGCUUAUAAAUUAUUGUUCCAAGAGUUACAAAGCAUGAAUAUAACACCUCGUUUAACAUUAAAGGAUUAUUGCGAUUGAUUGUUUGCUAUCAGACUAUAUACCAGUAACUUCAAGACAAUUUGUCUUAAUGUGCAGAUAAUAAGUUUCCAAAAUUUCACGUUUAUUUAGCUUAUA